rnacentral:rRNA from 1 species
UAGGGAAUCUUCCGCAAUGGGCGAAAGCCUGACGGAGCAACGCCGCGUGAGUGAUGAAGGUCUUCGGAUCGUAAAACUCUGUUAUUAGGGAAGAACAAAUGUGUAAGUAACUAUGCACGUCUUGACGGUACCUAAUCAGAAAGCCACGGCUAACUACGUGCCAGCAGCCGCGGUAACACGUAGGUGGCAAGCGUUAUCCGGAAUUAUUGGGCGUAAAGCGCGCGUAGGCGGUUUUUUAAGUCUGAUGUGAAAGCCCACGGCUCAACCGUGGAGGGUCAUUGGAAACUGGAAAACUUGAGUGCAGAAGAGGAAAGUGGAAUUCCAUGUGUAGCGGUGAAAUGCGCAGAGAUAUGGAGGAACACCAGUGGCGAAGGCGACUUUCUGGUCUGUAACUGACGCUGAUGUGCGAAAGCGUGGGGAUCAAACAGG